rnacentral:rRNA from 1 species
GACGGAGGGUGCUAGCGUUGUUCGGAAUUACUGGGCGUAAAGGGCGCGUAGGCGGCCUGGGAAGUCGGCUUGUGAAAGCCCGGGGCUCAACCCCGGAGGUGCGGCCGAUACUCCCUGGCUGGAGGCCGGAAGAGGAGGGUGGAAUACCCAGUGUAGAGGUGAAAUUCGUAGAUAUUGGGUGGAACACCGGUGGCGAAAGCGGCUCUCUGGUCUGGACCUGACGCUGAGGCGCGAAAGCGUGGGGAGCAAACAGG